UAGCUAUACCAGGAUUACUGUCUCAGCAACAACUUGGCCUCAACAAUUCUGAGAUGGCUGAGAUGGCUUGGCAUUAAGGGAAGAGGAAUUGGAGCUGUACGAGGACAUGCCGUGGCGGUGCUAUCUCGGCACCGGCGACAAUUAUCUCAGGUGAUUCCUCAGGUUCCCCUUCGAUCGAGCUGUGGCUUCCUAUUUCGGCAAAUGAGUCCAUGCCCUGUUUCUGGCAACAUGGCUUAGUCGUCCAUUUGUUUAGGAACAAGAGGUUUUUUUCUGGUACUGGAAUGUUCUGUUGGUGAUUUAGGUUAGACACCUGGUCUCCAUGAGUUACAUGUUUUCUUCUUUGCAUUUUCUAUAAUUUUCCUUCGCUUUUCAAAUCAUACAUCCUACAUGAUGUUUAGUUCAGGAUUAUGCUUCUGUUCAUUGCAUUCGUGGCUCAUUAUUGGCUAUUGGAGAACUGUUGAGGAAACUUAAAGUUCAUUUUGCAGUGAUAUUCCGUACAAGUUUUUUCACAAUAUGCAUAUACUGAUGCAAUCACGUUUUUUGUUCUCUUGGUGACAUUGGAGUACUACCCACUACUUGGAGCUUGCCUACCUCUUCGACAACUACCGCAGGAUAACAUCAACUCAGGUACUCCGUGGGUGACAUCUUCUUUGGGGCCGUGCAGCUCAAGAUUGAGACCUUCGCCUCUAGUGUUGCUGUCCUCGAGCAAGAGUCACGGGGAGGUACUCUAGUGGCUUGGGAUAUACUACGAGGUCUUUGUCAAGACCUCAUCAUGUCGUGGCACUUCAUACAACAAUCGGGUUCAAGCCAAGUGAAGCUCAGCCGAAGUCCCUCGCCGACUGGCUACGGAGGCCUCUGACUACAUUGGUCCCAGGCUUAUUAGGGUAGGUUGACAUGGCUCGGCCUCCCGAGUAGCUCCACCCGAUUCACUGAAGUCCCUCCCGGGCCGACUACGUGUGCCUCUAGCUGCUUUGGUCCUCGGUGGUGCUUAUGCUGCUGUUGUGCAAGGGUCUAUGUAAUGUUGUUUCGGUUGCAAUAUUCAAUAGUCUACAUCAUUUAUAGUUGUCAACGCUAGAAUUGCGCUAGCUUUUGCACUGGCCUUGCUUUAAGCUUUCCAGCAAGGGAGAAUAGAGCUUGCCAGGAGGGAGCCAUGGCCUCCCUCACCUCACACCUGGACUGGUAUGUCGCCACCGACCCGCGACUCCACCUGGACUGCUAUUCUCUUGCAUUGCUCUGGGAAACCCUUCAAUUCUAAGGCUGAUUGUAUUCUAUUAACAUUUUACAAGUUGUGAGAAGUUAGGGAGUAGUAGCAGUGUUGUCCAAAAAUUUGACACAAGGUUGAGGUCUGCAAAGAACCAAGGCGCCACUGACGUUGAGGUCUCCGAUCCCCCAAGAACCAAGACGAGCCAGGAGACAAGUGUUGAUGCUGUGAUGACUAAGGAGGUUGCUGCCUGGUAAGAUGCUGAUGGACCAAGUUGGCUGGAGAGGAGCAGCAGUUUGUGGACGGUGGCGACUCUUGUUCCGACAAUGGUGACGGAUAGAUGCUAGAGGAGCUUACUAUUGUUGAUCGUUUGAAUUGCUGCCAGUUGUUGAUCUACAUGUGUCUUUGGAGUGGACUGAAGUGACAGUUCCGGUUCUUGUUUUGUUGUGAUCAAUUGGACGUUGUUACAGUUCCUGUAAUAUUUCAGCUACGUCUGUAUUUUGAACUUUGGCCAAGAGGGCUAUUGUGCUAGCUUGGAGGUUUCAGGUUGGAAAGGAUUUUUGUAAUAGCUUCUCAGGAUUUAUUGUUUGAUCUUGUGCCAUCAGUUUACG